rnacentral:tRNA from 1 species
GUAGAUGUAGUUUAAAGAAAACUUCAGAUUGUGAUUCUGAAAACAGGGGUUAAAAACCUCUCUCCUACC